rnacentral:rRNA from 1 species
UGCGUAGGUGGCGCGGUAAGUCGGGUGUGAAAUUUCGGAGCUCAACUCCGAAACUGCAUUCGAUACUGCCGUGCUUGAGGACUGGAGAGGAGACUGGAAUUUACGGUGUAGCAGUGAAAUGCGUAGAGAUCGUAAGGAAGACCAGUGGCGAAGGCGGGUCUCUGGACAGUUCCUGACACUGAGGCAAGGACCAGGGAGGCAAC